UAGGAGACCACUGCAAUCAUUCAAGAGAAAGAUGAUGGAGACUGGGAAUAAAAUUGCAGCAAUGGAGAAGACAAAGCCCACAGGACGUGCUGAAGAUGGGGUGUGGCAUAAGAGAAAAAGAGAGAACUUCAAGAUGACUUCAUUUUUCUUGGCCUGGCAUCUUUUCUAAAACUCUUCUAGUGGCAGCUCUAAAUAUCAGUUGGACUGGUACUGAAGAAAAAACAGGACAAAAAGGCCAG
rnacentral:lncRNA from 1 species